UACGGGGGGGGCAAGCGUUGUUCGGAAUUACUGGGCGUAAAGGGCUCGUAGGUGGCCAACUAAGUCAGACGUGAAAUCCCUCGGCUUAACCGGGGAACUGCGUCUGAUACUGGAUGGCUUGAGUUUGGGAGAGGGACGCGGAAUUCCAGGUGUAGCGGUGAAAUGCGUAGAGAUGUGGAGGAACACCGAUGGCGAAGGCAGCCUUCUGGGCCAAUACUGACGCUCAUGCACGAAAGCGUGGGGAGCAAACAGG
rnacentral:rRNA from 1 species